CUUCAGGGCAGGGUGCGAUUCCCGACCGGCGGUGAGCAGUUAUCAGCUGCAAGUCCGCGAACCGCACAGAGUGCGGCCGACCCGGUUCAAUUCCGGGACCGACGGUAAAGUCCGGAUGAAAGAAGGAG
rnacentral:ncRNA from 1 species